rnacentral:rRNA from 1 species
GAUGAACGCUAGCUGCAGGCUUAACACAUGCAAGUCGAGGGGUAACGAGAGGAAAGCUUGCUUUCCUCGUCGACGACCGGCGCACGGGUGAGUAACGCGUAUCCAACCUGCCCCCAACUAAGGAAUAACCUUGCGAAAGUAAGACUACUACCGUAUACUUUCCUCAGAUGUCAUCUGACGAGGAAUAAAGAUUUAUCGGCUGCGGAUGGGGAUGCGUCGGAUUAGCUUGUUGGCGGGGUAACUGCCCACCAAGGCAGCGAUCAGUAGAGGUUCCGAGAGGAAGGUCCCCCACAUUGGAACUGAGACACGGUCCAAACUCCUACGGGAGGCAGCAGUGAAGAAUAUUGGUCAAUGGGCGAAAGCCUGAACCAGACAAGUAGCGUGCAGGAUGACGGCCCUAUGGGUUGUAAACUGCUUUUAUACAGGAAUAAAGUUAGCCACGUGUGGUUAUUUGUAGGUACUGUAUGAAUAAGGACCGGCUAAUUCCGUGCCAGCCGCCGCGGUAA